UGAAUACGAGAUGCUACGGCGUCGAAGCAGUCUAUGUCAUACUUCCAAGAAAAGCUUGCACUGUCAUAAACAAAUAAUGCCUGUACCAUAACCGACACAGGUGGGUAGGUAGAGUAUACUAAGGGGCGCGAGAUAACUCUCUCUAAGGAACUCGGCAAAAUGACUCCGUAACUUCGGGAGAAGGAGUGCCUUAUUUAUAAGGUUGCAAUAACAAGAUCCAAGCAACUGUUUACCAAAAACACAGGUCUCCGCUAAGUCGUAAGACGAUGUAUGGGGGCUGACGCCUGCCCAGUGCCAGAAGGUUAAAGAAGUUGGUUAGCAUCCGCGAAGCUGAUAACUGAAGCCCUGGUGAACGGCGGCCGUAACAAUAACGGUCCUAAGGUAGCGAAAUUCCUUGUCGGGUAAGUUCCGACCCGCACGAAAGGCGUAAUGAUUUGGAUACUGUCUCGGAGAGGGGCUCGGUGAAAUAGACUUGUCUGUGAAGAUGCGGACUACCUGCACCAGGACAGAAAGACCCUAUGAAGCUUUACUGUAACCUGAAAUUGAAAUUGGACUUUACUUGCGCAGUAUAGGUGGGAGGCGUUGAGAAUACUCUUGCGGGAUUAUUGGAGCCAUCAGUGAGAUACCACUCUUGUAAUGUUAGAUUUCUAACUUUGUAUCAUUAUCUGGUCAAAGAACAGUUUCAGGCGGGCAGUUUGACUGGGGCGGUCGCCUCCUAAACGGUAACGGAGGCGCACAAAGGUUUCCUCUGAACGGGUAGAAAUCGUAUCUAGAGUGUAAAGGCAUAAGGAAGCUUGACUGUGAGACCUACAAGUCGAGCAGGGACGAAAGUCGGUCUUAGUGAUCUGACGGUUCUGAGUGGAAAGGCCGUCACUCAACGGAUAAAAGUUACUCUAAGGAUAACAGGCUGAUCUCCCCCAAGAGUUCACAUCGACGGGGAGGUUUGGCACCUCGAUGUCGGCUCAUCGCAUCCUGGGGCGGUAGUACGUCCCAAGGGUUGGGCUGUUCGCCCAUGAAAGCGGUACGCGAGCUGGGUUCAGAACGUCGUGAGACAGUUCGGUCCAUAUCCGGUGUAGGCGUUAGAAUAUUGAGAGGAGCCUUCUUUAGUACGAGAGGACCGAGAAGGACAUACCUCUGGUGUACCAGUUAUCGUGCCAACGGUAAACGCUGGGUAGCUAUGUGUGGAGUGGAUAACCGCUGAAAGCAUCUAAGUGGGAAGCCCACCUCAAGAUAAGUAUUCUC
rnacentral:rRNA from 1 species